GGCCAGAACACACCCAGUCAGUCAGUACCUGCAGGCCAGAACACACCCAGUCAGUCAGUCAGUACCUGCAGGCCAGAACACACCCAGUCAGUCAGUACCUGCAGGCCAGAACACACCCAGUCAGUCAGUACCUGCAGGCCAGAACACACCCAGUCAGUCAGUACCUGCAGGCCAGAACACACCCAGUCAGUCAGUACCUGCAGGCCAGAACACACCCAGUCAGUCAGUACCUGCAGGCCAGAACACACCCAGUCAGUCAGUACCUGCAGGCC